rnacentral:rRNA from 1 species
AUUGAACGCUGGCGGCAUGCCUUACACAUGCAAGUCGAACGGUAACAGGUCUUCGGAUGCUGACGAGUGGCGAACGGGUGAGUAAUACAUCGGAACGUGCCCGAUCGUGGGGGAUAACGAAGCGAAAGCUUUGCUAAUACCGCAUAAGAUCUACGGAUGAAAGCAGGGGACCGCAAGGCCUUGCGCGAACGGAGCGGCCGAUGGCAGAUUAGGUAGUUGGUGGGAUAAAAGCUUACCAAGCCGACGAUCUGUAGCUGGUCUGAGAGGACGACCAGCCAGACGGGGACUGAGACACGGCCCAGACUCCUACGGGAGGCAGCAGUGGGGAAUUUUGGACAAUGGGCGCAAGCCUGAUCCAGCCAUGCCGCGUGCAGGAUGAAGGCCUUCGGGUUGUAAACUGCUUUUGCACGGAACGAAAAGACUCUGGUUAAUACCUGGGGUCCAUGACGGUACCGUAAGAAUAAGCACCGGCUAACUACGUGCCAGCAGCCGCGGUAA